GAAAGUUCCCCUAAAGCCCCGAGGAAUCACCGAAUGAAAGGGGCUUUUUACCAACAGGAAACUUAAGUGGAGUGCCAGUACACAACAUGGAUUGCACCAGGCCGGGUCUAAGAUAAAACCAGACUGUGGACAACAGAACAGAUAAGACCCACAUGGCUCUGCACUGCCUGGGUCUGUUAUUGUGUAGGAGGAAUAUCUUAGUCUGUUGCUCCUAUGGGUGUAGCUAAGACAUGAACUAGGAGCCUUCAUCCAUAGAAAGCAGUCAAACACCUGAGAACCGAUCUCAAACUGCAGGCUUCCACAGAACCUUCUGGAACCUUCUGGAAUGCAACUCAUUACUGCCAGAGGGUCUUUGAUGAGUGUCUACUCUCCAUCAUUUGUCUUCAUUACCCACAUAUUCUCUUUCCGUGGAAAGGCUUGGAAAUCUAGUGCAUAUUUUACACUAACAGCAUAUCGCAAUUGAGAUGGCCACAUCUCAAGUGCCAAGUAGCCAUGUAUGGCCUGAGGCCACGACUCUGGGCAGUACAACUUUGGGUCAAGCAUGCCUCACAAAGGGGCCAGGGGAGGUGCCUCAGUUUACUUGGGAGCUUGGCCUCUCCAGCUUGCCUUCCUGCUGCCUGGAAGAAGGUUGGGGUCCUCUCGCCUUCUCUAGCCCCUUUCCCAAGAACCCUCCCAGAAUUUAGUCCUGUGAAGGGCCAGGGGUGCAAGGAGUCACCCACACAAUGACAGGACCCACCAGCAAUACCAGAAGUUGGCCAACCCUACUCAUCCAAAUUCCUUUCUGCCAGCUGGACGUCACAAGGCUUUCAGACUGUCGCCCUGUGGCAACUCCAUUUUGGGUUCCGGGGAUGUAAGUGUUACUAUAUUAGUCCAUUCUCACUCUGCUAAUAAAGCCAUACCUGAGACUGGGUAACUUAUAAAGAAAAA